rnacentral:rRNA from 1 species
AUGAAGUGGCGCCAAGCUUCUGGCAUUCUCUGUGACAAGAGAGUGCCACAAAAGCUAAAAGGCAAGUUCUACAGGACGGCGGUUCGACCCGCAAUGUUGUAUGGCGCGGAGUGUUGGCCGACUAAAAGGCGACAUGUUCAACAGUUAGGUGUGGCGGAGAUGCGUAUGUUGAGAUGGAUGUGUGGCCACACGAGGAAGGAUUGA